GCCUACGGGAGGCAGCAGUGGGGAAUAUUGGACAAUGGGGGCAACCCUGAUCCAGCAAUGCCGCGUGUGUGAUGAAGGCCUUCCGGUUGUAAAGCUCUUUCGGCGGGGAAGAUGAUGACGGUACCCGCAGAAGAAGCCCCGGCUAACUUCGUGCCAGCAGCCGCGGUAA
rnacentral:rRNA from 1 species